CGACGACCCAGCAGCCAGAGACAGUGUGGAGGUCAGAUCUGUGAAUUCACCUCACUGCAGACGUCAUCAUCGCCAUCGACUCAUCGGUCAUGAGCAGCGAUCGAACAAAGCUUGUGUUGAACAUCAGAGCUGAUGAAGCCUGUCACUCGGAGACACUGAGAUGUGGAUGGAAGCAGAGCCGAGAGGCAGAGAGCGAGAAAGCAGAGUGAGGAAGGAAGAACUGCGACUGUUGUGACUGAUGAUAGAGUCACGGAGUUCCUCAGGGAUCUACUCUUGGUCCUUUACCGUUUACAACUUCAUCUUCUUCUGCUAAUCCUGGGUUGGGUUCUGGUGGCUGCAGACUAAGCAGGGUGUUCCUGACAUCCCUCUCCCCAUGAAGCAUUGUGAUUGUCAACUUGACUGACUGUUCUGAGAUCAAGUAUCUUGUUCACAUGUGGAAACUGCACUGAUCUGUACUAAUACCCUGGAAACCACCUGGCAACCAAGACAAAUAUCUGCGUU